GGGUUUGAUCUGGCUCAGAUUGAACGCUGGCGGGAUGCUACAUGCAAGUCGGAGCAGCGGCACGGACUUCGGUCUGGUGGCGAGUGGCGAACAGGUGAGUAAUGUCGGAACGUGCCUAGUAGCGGGGAUAACUAAAAGCGUAGCUAAUGCACCUUCGCCCUUCGAAGAAAGGGGGACCUUCGGGCCUCGCACUAUGGAAGCGGCCGAUAUCGGAUUAGCUAGUUGGUGGGGUAACGGCUCGCCAAGGCGACGAUCGUAGCUGGUUUGAGAGGACGACCAGCCACACUAGGACUGAGACUGCGGCCCGGGCUCCUACAGGAGGCAGCAGUGGGGUACUUUGGACAAUGGGGAAACCCUGAUCCAGCCAUCGCGUGUGCGAUGAAGGCCUUCAGAUUUGUAAAGCACUUUUGGCAGAAGAACGGCUGCGGGAUAAUACCCGUGCAACUGGCCACCUGCAGAAUAAGCACCGGCUAACUACGUGCCAGCAGCCGCGGUAAUACGUAGGUGCAAGCGUUAAUCGGAAUUACUGGGCGUAAGGCGUGCAGGCGGUUCGGAAAGAAAGAUGUGAAAUCCCAGAGCUUAACUUUGGAACUGCAUUUUUAACUUCCGAGCUAGAGUGUGUCAGAGGAGAUUCCGCGUGUAGCAGUGAAAUGCGUAGAUAUGCGGAGGAACACCGAUGGCGAAGGCAGCCUCCUGGGAUAACACUGACGCUCAUGCACGAAAGCGUGGGGAACCAAACCAGAAGUUAGAUACCCUGGUAGUCCACGCCCUAAACGAUGUCAACUAGCUGUUGGGGCCUUCGGGCCUUGGUAGCGCAGCUAACGCGUGAGAUUGACCGCCUGGGAAGUAUAUGAAUUAAAACUCAAAGGAAUUGACGGGGACCCGCACAAGCGGUGGAUGAUGUGGAUUAAUUCGAUGCAACGCGAAAAACCUUACCUACCCUUGACAUGUCUACUAGGAAUCGAAGAGAUUUGGGAGUGCUCGCAAAGCCUUGGAGUGCUGCAUGGCUGUCGUCAGCUCGUGUCGUGAGAUGUUGGGUUAAGUCCCGCAACGAGCGCAACCCUUGUCAUUAGUUGCUACGAAGAGGGCACUCUAAUGAGACUGCACCGGUAGCAAACCGGAGGAAGGUGGGGAUGACGUCAAGUCCUCAUGGCCCUUAUGGGUAGGGCUUCACACGUCAUACAAUGGUCGGGACAGAGGGUCGCCAACCCGCGAGGGGCCAAUCCGAAACCCGAUCGUAGUCGGAUCACCAGUCUGCAACUCGACUGCGUGAAGUCAGAAUCGCUGGUAAUCGCGGAUCAACACUGUCGCGGUGAAUACGUUCCCGGGUCUUGUACACACCGCCCGUCACACCAUGGGAGUGGGUUUUACCAGAAGUAGUUGACCUAACCGUAAGGAGGGCGAUUACCACGGUAGGAUUCAUGACUGGGGUGAAGUCGUAACAAAGGUAG
rnacentral:rRNA from 1 species